rnacentral:rRNA from 1 species
UAAACCUGUGAAACUCGAACGAUCGAACGGGGAGAUUCAUUCAGCGUCGCUUUCCGAAUAAUUCAUAGGGGUCCGCGGCGGGUCGUCGUUCCAGUCUGCCGCGNNGGGCGGCGUUUCGGCGUCGCACGUUCUACGCGGCAGGCGCGGCCCGUUCGCGUAUCCGGCCCCCGGAGCGCGUGCACUUCUCCCUCAGUACAACACCGCGACCCGUCGGCGUAGCGGCGGUCUCAACGCGUCCCGGGAGAGAGUCCGGACGGUGGGCUUCGCGGCCAGCCGUCCGAAUCUCCUCAGGCGUCGCGGCCGCCGCCCGACGGUAGAGAACGAGGAUCGGAUCCAGCCCGAUUUUAACGGCGCGUCCGUGAUCGGACCGCGGCGCUCCGCGUCCCGGANCUCGGGGCCCAGUUGUCUCGCAUGUUCCGGGCGUUCUCCUCCCGACGGGAGGAUAAGGAGCGCCGUAUUCGGCCCGAUCGUCUCGGANAGGAUUUCCGUCCCGGUCGGCGGUGGUUUGUUUCGGGCACUCACAGGACCCGUCUUGAACACGGACCAAGGAGUCUAGCAUGUGCGCGAGUCAUAGGGAGACUCUAGACCCUGAGGCAUGAAAGUGACAGCGUCGGACGAUUUUUUUUUUUUUAAAAAAAAAUCUUUCGACCGCAGGGACGAUGGCGGACGGCCGAUUUCGCGUUGACCGUCUCGCCCGC